rnacentral:rRNA from 1 species
UACGUAGGGGGCAAGCGUUGUCCGGAAUCAUUGGGCGUAAAGCGCGUGUAGGCGGCCACGUUAGUCCGCUCUGAAAGCCCGGGGCUCAACCCCGGGAGGCGGGUGGAUACUGCGUGGCUCGAGUCCGGAAGAGGCGAGUGGAAUUCCUGGUGUAGCGGUGAAAUGCGCAGAUAUCAGGAGGAACACCAAUGGCGAAGGCAGCUCGCUGGGACGUGACUGACGCUGAGACGCGAAAGCGUGGGGAG